rnacentral:lncRNA from 1 species
UAAACUUAAGCUGCAACUGGAUUGUUGAUCUUCAUUCGAGAGAGAAGAAGCCUUUGGUUCCCUGGAAUCACCUUAUUUGGUGUACUCCAUACGCCUCCCCUUCCUCGUAACGGGUAUCAAGCAUCAAUUGGAUGUCUCGAGCAUGGGAAUGGAGCUGUAAUGUCUUUAUUGUGUAAUUGAUAGCAACAGCCAGGAAAUCAAUAGCUCCGCUUUGCUUUCGUUCUGGCAUUGUUCCAUAACUUAGUAGAAAUUGUCAGGUUAGUUGAAGGAAGGUAAUAUUUGUCAAAAAUAUGAGGUAAUAAUCUUUUUGUUCUUAUUGAUCUUGAAUGAUAACCAACUCUAUUAUAAAUAGAGUUGUACAAUUAGGGUUAGAGUCCAAGUCCUUAUAGGAAAAGACUACUAGAGUCCAAAAUGAUGUAUGGGAUAUGAUGGAUGCUGUGUUUAGAUAUGAACUCCAAUCUUCUCUGUGUUUUUCCUGCUUGCCUUUCCUUGUUGAUUUGUUGCAUGAACUGAUGGUUGACAUUUUCGAUCUUUUUGUUGUUGCUUCUAAUUAGGAUCGUACAUAUGCGAUGGUGGGCUUCUUGUCUAUGACAUGUAGCAGUUCUGUUCUACUAUAGGCCAAGAAACAGUGAUAGAAUUUUGGUGAAGGAGACUGGGAAUUUAAUUUUUGGUAUGACAGGAAAAAGAAGAGAUAAACUUAAGCUGCAACUGGAUUGUUGAUCUUCAUUCGAGAGAGAAGAAGCCUUUGGUUCCCUGGAAUCACCUUAUUUGGUGUACUCCAUACGCCUCCCCUUCCUCGUAACGGGUAUCAAGCAUCAAUUGGAUGUCUCGAGCAUGGGAAUGGAGCUGUAAUGUCUUUAUUGUGUAAAUGAUAGCAACAGCCAGGAAAUCAAUAGCUCCGCUUUGCUUUCGUUCUGGCAUUGUUCCAUAACUUAGUAGAAAUUGUCAGGUUAGUUGAAGGAAGGUAAUAUUUGUCAAAAAUAUGAGGUAAUAAUCUUUUUGUUCUUAUUGAUCUUGAAUGAUAACCAACUCUAUUAUAAAUAAAGCUGUACAACUAGGGUUAGAGUCCAAGUUUUUAUAGGAAAAGACUACUAAAGUCCAAUUUUUUAUAGGAAAAGACUACUACCUUUAAUA